rnacentral:rRNA from 1 species
UACGUAGGGGGCAAGCGUUGUCCGGAUUUAUUGGGCGUAAAGAGCGUGUAGGCGGCCAGGUAGGUCAGCUGUGAAAACUCGAGGCUCAACCUCGAGACGCCGGUUGAAACCAUCUGGCUAGGGUCCUGAAGAGGAGAGUGGAAUUCCUGGUGUAGCGGUGAAAUGCGCAGAUAUCAGGAAGAACACCCGUGGCUAAGGCGGCUCUCUAGUACGGUACUGACGCUGAGACGCGAAAGCGUGGGGAGCGAACAGG